AUAAAUCAAGAAUUUGAAGAAUCGAGAACACGAUAGGAAUGGAGAAUAAAGGGAGAAGAAAAAGGCCAAGAUAAGCCCAAAAGCUAAAGUAAUAGAAGAACAAGAAGCACUACCGAAGUAUACCGAGAGAGGAGGGGAAGAAGAACCCAAGUGUACCAAGAGAGGAGAAGAAAGGACAACUAGGAGAACUGAAGCGUGCUAGAGAAGAGUCCCAGUACACAAAUAGCAACAAAAGAAAUCUUCUGUCAAUAAUUUCUCCUUUUUCUUCAUCGUUUAACUUAGAUUCAAAGAAGCAACUACUUCUCGCAUGGUUACCUUAGUGCCUUUCCCUCCGAAGUGUGUACCUUCUUGAAAUUGCCCCCCCUCACGUCAUUGUUUUGUUGGAGCGGUCACUUUCGAAUUGAUCGAGUAGUGAAAUGUGUUCUAACAUCUUUUCUUCAUCUAGUUGUGAGCUUGUAACUUAUUUAACUCUUCCACUUUGACAUGUUUGUCUAGAAUUUAAUAUUAUAAUAACUGUCAUUUACUUUGUUAUCAAAAAAUUUCAGCGCAUAAUAAUAGUCUUUGGCUUUAUUAUUUUGCAUUGGGAUUUUAUUCGCUACUGAUAGAAUUUUU
rnacentral:lncRNA from 1 species